GACGAACGCUGGCGGCGUGCUUAACACAUGCAAGUCGAACGGUAAGGCCCUUCGGGGUACACGAGUGGCGAACGGGUGAGUAACACGUGGGUGAUCUGCCCUGCACUUCGGGAUAAGCCUGGGAAACUGGGUCUAAUACCGGAUAGGACUCCGGACUGCAUGGUCUGGGGUGGAAAGCUUUUGCGGUGUGGGAUGGGCCCGCGGCCUAUCAGCUUGUUGGUGGGGUGAUGGCCUACCAAGGGGACGACGGGUAGCCGGCCUGGGAGGGUGACCGGCCACACUGGGACGGAGAUCCGGCCCAGACUCCUACGGGAGGCAGCAGUGGGGAAUAUUGCACCAUGGGCGCAAGCCUGAUGCAGCGACGCCGCGUGAGGGAUGACGGCCUUCGGGUUGUAAACCUCUUUCAGCGUCGACGAAGCGAAAGUGACGGUAGGUGCAGAAGAAGGACCGGCCAACUACGUGCCAGCAGCCGCCGUAA
rnacentral:rRNA from 1 species